rnacentral:tRNA from 1 species
AGGAACUUAGGUUAACCCUCAGACCAGGAGCCUUCAAAGCCCCCAGUAAAUGCAACACAUUUAGUUCCUG